rnacentral:rRNA from 2 species
GAGUUUGAUCAUGGCUCAGAACGAACGCUGGCGGCAUGCCUAACACAUGCAAGUCGAACGAGACCUUCGGGUCUAGUGGCGCACGGGUGCGUAACGCGUGGGAAUCUGCCCUUGGGUUCGGAAUAACAGUUAGAAAUGACUGCUAAUACCGGAUGAUGACUUCGGUCCAAAGAUUUAUCGCCCAAGGAUGAGCCCGCGUCGGAUUAGCUUGUUGGUGAGGUAAAAGCUCACCAAGGCGACGAUCCGUAGCUGGUCUGAGAGGAUGAUCAGCCACACUGGGACUGAGACACGGCCCAGACUCCUACGGGAGGCAGCAGUGGGGAAUAUUGGACAAUGGGCGAAAGCCUGAUCCAGCAAUGCCGCGUGAGUGAUGAAGGCCUUAGGGUUGUAAAGUUCUUUUACCCGGGAUGAUAAUGACAGUACCGGGAGAAUAAGCCCCGGCUAACUCCGUGCCAGCAGCCGCAGU